AAUUAAAGCUUCUAACUUUAAAAAGAGCAAGAGUUCAUAUUUCUUAAAA
rnacentral:tRNA from 1 species